UUGCACGCUGGCGGCCUGCCUUACCCCUGCACGUCGAACGGCAGCACGGGUGCUUGCACCUGGUGGCGAGUGGCGAACGGGUGAGUAAUACAUCGGAACAUGUCCUGUAGUGGGGGAUAGCCCGGCGAAAGCCGGAUUAAUACCGCAUACGAUCUACGGAUGAAAGCGGGGGACCUUCGGGCCUCGCGCUAUAGGGUUGGCCGAUGGCUGAUUAGCUAGUUGGUGGGGUAAAGGCCUACCAAGGCGACGAUCAGUAGCUGGUCUGAGAGGACGACCAGCCACACUGGGACUGAGACACGGCCCAGACUCCUACGGGAGGCAGCAGUGGGGAAUUUUGGACAAUGGGCGAAAGCCUGAUCCAGCAAUGCCGCGUGUGUGAAGAAGGCCUUCGGGUUGUAAAGCACUUUUGUCCGGAAAGAAAUCCUUGGCCCUAAUACGGUCGGGGGAUGACGGUACCGGAAGAAUAAGCACCGGCUAACUACGUG
rnacentral:rRNA from 1 species